AUGAUCAGUUUAUGUAUGUUUCUUUUAUUGUUAAUGAAUAUGAGAAAACCAGGCUUAACAUUAUGAGUUGAUAGACCAGAAAUAGUGCAUGCACAGGUUAAGCCCUGGAGGAAAGAAAAGUUUUAAUGGUUUGAAAGAAACCAUAUGAUCAUGUAUGGGAUUUCACAGGUACACAGACAGUAUAGCAGGCUUACUACGGGUCCCGGCGACCUUAAGUUGAUCUGGAUCCUAGUGCCGAUAGCAGUUCGGUUUUCGGGCUGUUACAGAUUGGUAUCAGAGCCCUAGGUUCACAUGGUCGGACCUAUAUAGAUAAAGUUGGGCUCAUAAAGGUUUAGUGGGUCAAGCACAAUAGGAAAACAUGUCCACUAGGAUAGGAUGUUAGUCCUGUCUAUCUGAUGAUGUGCAAUGCCAU
rnacentral:lncRNA from 1 species